GACGUUCCUUCGGGUCGGGGUUG
rnacentral:piRNA from 1 species